GUAGUCAUAUGCUUGUCUCAAAGAUUAAGCCAUGCAUGUCUAAGUAUAAGCAAUUAUACAGCGAAACUGCGAAUGGCUCAUUAUAUAAGUUAUCGUUUAUUUGAUAGUACCUUCCUACAUGGAUAACCGUGGUAAUUCUAGAGCUAAUACAUGCUAAAAAUCCCGACUUCGGAAGGGAUGUAUUUAUUAGAUUAAAAACCAAUGCCCUUCGGGGCUCUUUGGUGAAUCAUGAUAACUUCACGGAUCGCACGGCCUUGCGCCGGCGAUGUUUCAUUCAAAUUUCUUCCCUAUCAACUUUCGAUGUUUGGGUAUUGGCCAAACAUGGUUGCAACGGGUAACGGGGAAU
rnacentral:rRNA from 1 species